AAAAAGGCCCUUUUUAGGGCCCCUAAUAUUUCAGAAAAAGAGUUU
rfam:Otolemur garnettii contig175473, whole genome shotgun sequence.